UUGCAAUCGGAGUGCGUACGUGGCAUACACAUGUAAUUUUCACACAUCAAAAAAUUAAAUUAAAAGCUGUAAAUAAACCUAAAAUCUAAACCGUUGGAUAAACUUCAUAAAAUCUGAUGGUUAUAAAGCCAAUAGGGACUGACGGCAUCAACCACUGACAAAUGAUGCCCAGCUGCCGCCACUGCAAACAACCCCUUCCGUCUGGGCCCCUCUUUCCCGCUUCAAAUUUCAAUCUCUCGGCAAGGUUAUCUUUAGUAUUCGCUCGUCAAAUUUUCUUUUAAUUUUCAGUUUCUCUUCUUUGGUUAGCUUCGAUGGGCCUUUCUUGGGUCAUCUCCCAGAUCCAUACUUCUCUUAUAUCCCUUUUAAUUUCUAUUAAUAAUAAUAGAAAUCUGCUACCCUUUGCAAAACCUUUGGCUGCCAAAGACAGCUCCACCGGAGGAAGCCUCCUCAACACCUCCCAAAGGUAGUUUAUGGGUAAUACCCUCAAUCGCGACAGAUCCGACUCGCUUUCCUGGAUCGAGAUAGCGCCCGUCGGAGGUUGGAGUAUGUGUGGCACGGGAGAGCUAGCGACGGCCGGACUGACAAAGAGGAGGAUGCUAUAGCGGCGGAGUAAGCUGGUGUAGGCGUGGUGGUGUUGGUGGAGUUACGAAACGUCAGAAACUACAAGUCAGUUCAUGGGGGUUAUGUUGCUAGAAAUAAAGGUGUUGGAAGGUGCAUUGUCCAAACAAGCAAAAAUUCAUAAAUUCAUUGGUAGUCAUUUUCUUCUAUUGAAAAAUAACCUUUUUAACAAAUGAGAGAUAUUUUAGCUGGAUAAUACCAAAACAGUUCAGAAUAUCAAGGAAGUUGAUGCCCA